GAUGAACGCUGGCGGCGUGCCUAAUACAUGCAAGUCGAGCGGAAGGACGAUAAGCUUUCUUCGCUUAUGUUAGCGGCGCACGGGUGAGUAACAUGUGGCUAACCUACCUAUAAAACUGGGAUAACUUCGUGAAACCGGAACUAAUUCCGGCUAAUGUUUUGAACCGCAUGGUUCAAAAGUGAAAGACGGUCUUGCUGUCACUUAUAGAUGGAUCCGUGUUGCAUUAGCUAGUUGGUAAGGUAACGGCUUACCAAGGCAACGAUGCAUAGCCGAUCUGAGAGGGCGAUCGGCCACACUGGAACUGAGACACGGUCCAGACUCCUACGGGAGGCAGCAGUAGGGAAUCUUGCGCAAUGGGCGAAAGCCUGACGUAGCAACGCCGCGUGUGUGAUGAAGGCCUUCGGAUCGUAAAACUCUGUUAUUAGGGAAGAAAAGAUGCGGAAUAAACCGUGGAGAUGUUGACGGUACCUAAUCAGAAAGCAACGGCUAACUACGUG
rnacentral:rRNA from 1 species